AUCCAGAUGACGAGUUCCACUUGUGGCGAAACGCGUGUCCUGGAU
rnacentral:hammerhead_ribozyme from 1 species